rnacentral:lncRNA from 1 species
CCUUGAGUUGCUGUGCCCAACAGCAGCAGGGGGAGCUGCAGUGGAGCCAUGACUGAGACACAUGAGUGGGGCGACCUAUGACCUUGUUGAAUAGUAUUGAUUUGAUGGUA